GCCACGAUCGCAUAAUCUGGUAGUGCACUGGCCUUGAGAGCCAGGCCUCCCUGAGGCUUCUCGGUUCAAAUCCGAGUCGUGGCG
rnacentral:tRNA from 1 species